rnacentral:rRNA from 1 species
GACGAACGCUGGCGGCGUGCCUAAUACAUGCAAGUCGAGCGAAUCAUUAGGAGCUUGCUCCUUUUGGUUAGCGGCGGACGGGUGAGUAACACGUGGGCAACCUGCCUGUAAGACUGGGAUAACACCGGGAAACCGGUGCUAAUACCGGAUAAUCCUUUUUCUCACAUGGGGGAAAGCUGAAAGACGGUUUCGGCUGUCACUUACAGAUGGGCCCGCGGCGCAUUAGCUAGUUGGUGAGGUAACGGCUCACCAAGGCGACGAUGCGUAGCCGACCUGAGAGGGUGAUCGGCCACACUGGGACUGAGACACGGCCCAGACUCCUACGGGAGGCAGCAGUAGGGAAUCUUCCGCAAUGGACGAAAGUCUGACGGAGCAACGCCGCGUGAGCGAUGAAGGCCUUCGGGUCGUAAAGCUCUGUUGUUAGGGAAGAACAAGUAUCGGAGUAACUGCCGGUACCUUGACGGUACCUAACCAGAAAGCCACGGCUAACUACGUGCCAGCAGCCGCGGUAAUACGUAGGUGGCAAGCGUUGUCCGGAAUUAUUGGGCGUAAAGCGCGCGCAGGCGGUCCUUUAAGUCUGAUGUGAAAGCCCACGGCUCAACCGUGGAGGGUCAUUGGAAACUGGGGGACUUGAGUGCAGAAGAGGAAAGUGGAAUUCCACGUGUAGCGGUGAAAUGCGUAGAGAUGUGGAGGAACACCAGUGGCGAAGGCGACUUUCUGGUCUGUAACUGACGCUGAGGCGCGAAAGCGUGGGGAGCAAACAGGAUUAGAUACCCUGGUAGUCUACGCCGUAAACGAUGAGUGCUAAGUGUUAGAGGGUUUCCGCCCUUUAGUGCUGCAGCUAACGCAUUAAGCACUCCGCCUGGGGAGUACGGCCGCAAGGCUG